GUGAUCGUAGUUCAGCCGGUUAGAGCACCAGAUUGUGAUUCUGGAAGUCGUGGGUUCGAAUCCCAUCGGUCACCCCA
rnacentral:tRNA from 1 species